GGAAGACCGACCACAGAAAGCUAAUGAACGCUGUAGAGUUCCCUUGCAGACCGUGGCCAUGGCUUUGGCAGUCCCUGACAGACACGGCGCUCCCCUCUCCCCCCACACCUGAUAGCGGACUGAAAGCAGGCAACACCCGAUAGAAGCAUUAACGUUAGCUAACGUUAACGUUACGCCGUUCGAGACGGGAUGUGGACAACAUCUUCUGUUUCGUUGGUGGACCAUCAGACGUGAUUCUAUGACUCAUCCUGGGCACAGAGCGGCUGUUCAAGACACCCAGGGCUAAGAGUGGCGCAGGAACCUCUGUUUCAACGACGACGCUCAGCCGUCUGAUGUUGGGUGUCAACGAGCAAGACUGGCCUCCAUCUUCAGAGCACCAGGCGGAGCCCCUGAAGAAACCGACCUGUUAAGAGUCAAGCAUCGACUUCUUUUCAGACCCACACUAGCACACUACCAGCAUUUGUUUUCAAUAACAAAAGAGAGAACAUACUCGAGACUGAUUCAAUACCACUUUACCUCCCGUCAUCCUGUCCUUUCCUCUCCAGUCCAAGAACAACCUCCCCUGCUCUCUACCUCCCAGAGAAAUAGAAAAGGAAAGAAGUGAAAAGCAAUUUAUUAUCCUUUUAUCAGUUCCUCUUUCUCUCCAGUUCGUGCAACAGUUCUCCCAUUUUACCUCAGGGAUUUUUCUCCCACGGCCUACCUCCUCCACGAGAAACCCAGUGACUGGAACAAAAAAACACACCUGUGACCUCUCGCUGUUGUUACCAUGACAACCUGUAUUGCCUCUCAAGCACCCCUCGCCGCAAGCGUGAGGACCAGCAAUGACCUUGGACCUCUCACCCCCUGCCAGCUCAGACCAGCUCGCUGUCUAAAUUGUACUGAUCAACACUUGUAGCCUGGAAUAUCGGGCCAGUUAUCCCCUGGAACGGAAAAAAGGGGUCCCAUUGCCAAUAAAGCCAGCUACACACUCACAAUAACCUCACCCUUCUGGUACAAUACGCCCAGCAGGAAACAAUAUACCUCAGCAGAGACACAGCUUCUCACUCAAGGAAAGUGGAAGGGAACUUUUACAGCAAUAGCAUUCACUGUCCCGGUGCUUCAAUCCACCCAGCAGGGUAACACAUGCUCACCAGCCUGGUGCUUCAAUCCACCCAGUAGGCAACUCACUUCAGCAUCUUCCAUUUGCCUGAGAGGCAAGAGUAUAGCAAUCGUAGCCAGGGAGGCCUCUAGAGGAGCAAAGAGAGAGAGAGAGAGAAGAGAGACUCAGGAGGGCUGCCCGGCAGUCGACUUCACUUCAUUUUGCUUCUGAGCAAAGUCACAUCAUACACAAGCCUCACGAUCCAAGCGGUAGCAUCAAAUCAGCAAACGCCCAAGAGGCCUUUAGAGAACACAGAAGAGACUCCGAAGUGUG